rnacentral:lncRNA from 1 species
CGCUCCCAUAAUUACAACAUAUAAUCCCACAACAAAGAGUUGAUUGAAUCAGUAGCUUUUGCCAACUGCCGGGACACUGAAUGUACAAUUGCGUUAUUCUGCGUCUCUUUCCUCGUGUAAAAGCAACAUCGGCCUGAGCGCUGAAGUUCAGCCCCAACAAAGUUUCAUGUCCUCACCGAACUACCUUUUCAGAGGACCUUCUCCCACGUCUCUGAGCGCGUGUGUCGACCGCUGUCUGGACCCUUUUCCUCUUUCUGUGAUGAAGAGGGAGGUUGUUGAUUAGGCUACGCGCCCCGCUGAGUGGCAAUUUCAUCUCAUAUUUACAAACUGAUAAGCUUUCUCGUGCAUUUGUUUUAAAUAUGCGCUCCUGUGUGACGCGUUAGCAUAUAAGAGUGCGAAAAAAGCGCUUCCCGUCUUGGCCGGUCUCUGUUUCUGUGCAUGUAUGUAUGUGUGUGUGUGUGUGUGUGAUUGUGUGCAACAUAACCGGCUUAUUUACAUUAAAUACGCCACAAGGUUACAGUGCAGAUGAGCGUCAUUUUAUCACUCAUUACUUCUCUCUUAUACUGACUGAUGCUCGCGCUCUCCGCUCAUCUCACUGGACUUUUUCUCGAGGAUACAAGACUUAAGAUACUUUCCCCAAAAGCUGACAGUGUGUCCCGGUCCUUGGUAUCUCACAGAGUAAAGACUCAUCGCCGCUGUCAUCGCUUGUUGCCGUACAGACUCAGUGGCGGGGUGAGUCACGGACUCUUCAACCUGACGGGCCCCGGACCAGUAUGCAGUUAGAGUGAUCAGGUAAGUGAACAUUCACCUCACGGCCCUUACUUCGGUAGUUGUAAUGCGACACCGCUCCUGGA